UGGGUGACCUGCCCUGUACUUCGGGAUAAGCCCUUGGGGUAACUGGGUCUAAUACCGGAUAUGACCUUCUCCUGCAUGGGGGUUGGUGGAAAGCUUUUGCGGUACAGGAUGGGCCCGCGGCCUAUCAGCUUGUUGGUGGGGUAAUGGCCUACCAAGGCGACGACGGGUAGCCGGCCUGAGAGGGCGACCGGCCACACUGGGACUGAGACACGGCCCAGACUCCUACGGGAGGCAGCAGUGGGGAAUAUUGCACAAUGGGCGCAAGCCUGAUGCAGCGACGCCGCGUGAGGGAUGACGGCCUUCGGGUUGUAAACCUCUUUCAGUAGGGACGAAGCGCAAGUGACGGUACCUACAGAAGAAGCACCGGCCAACUACGUGCCAGCAGCCGCGGUAAUACGUAGGGUGCGAGCGUUGUCCGGAUUUACUGGGCGUAAAGAGCUCGUAGGCGGUUUGUCGCGUCGUCUGUGAAAACCCGAGGCUUAACCUCGGGCCUGCAGGCGAUACGGGCAGACUUGAGUACUGUAGGGGAGACUGGAAUUCCUGGUGUAGCGGUGGAAUGCGCAGAUAUCAGGAGGAACACCGGUGGCGAAGGCGGGUCUCUGGGCAGUAACUGACGCUGAGGAGCGAAAGCGUGGGUAGCGAACAGGAUUAGAUACCCUGGUAGUCCACGCCGUAAACGGUGGGUACUAGGUGUGGGUUUCCUUCCACGGGAUCCGUGCCGUAGCUAACGCAUUAAGUACCCCGCCUGGGGAGUACGGCCGCAAGGCUAAAACUCAAAGGAAUUGACGGGGGGCCCGCACAAGCGGCGGAGCAUGUGGAUUAAUUCGAUGCAACGCGAAGAACCUUACCUGGGUUUGACA
rnacentral:rRNA from 1 species